AGAUUGAACGCUGGCGGCAUGCCUAACACAUGCAAGUCGAACGGGAGUAGCAAUACUCUAGUGGCGGACGGGUGAGGAAUACGUAGGAAUUUGCCCUUAAGUGGGGGAUAACCCGGGGAAACCCGGAUUAAUACCGCAUGACCUCGAAAGAGCAAAGUGGGGGAUCGCAAGACCUCACGCUUUUGGAGAAGCCUACGUCGGAUUAGCUAGUUGGUGAGGUAAUGGCUCACCAAGGCGACGAUCCGUAACUGGUCUGAGAGGAUGAUCAGUCACACCGGAACUGAGACACGGUCCGGACUCCGUACGGGAGGCAGCAGGUGGGAAUAGUUGGACAAGUGGGCGCAAGCCUGACUCCAGACAAUGCCGCGUGUGUGAAGAGGCCGUUAGGUUGUAAAGUCUACUUUAAGUUAGGGAAGAAAAACUCGACUACUAACACUAGU
rnacentral:rRNA from 1 species